rnacentral:rRNA from 1 species
UACGUAGGGGGCAAGCGUUGUCCGGAUUUAUUGGGCGUAAAGAGCGUGUAGGCGGCCACACAGGUCUGCUGUGAAAACUCGAGGCUCAACCUCGAGCUGUCGGUGGAAACCGUGUGGCUAGAGUCCGGAAGAGGAGAGUGGAAUUCCCGGUGUAGCGGUGAAAUGCGCAGAUAUCGGGAAGAACACCCGUGGCGAAGGCGACUUCCUGGCCUGUUCUUGACGCUGAGGCGCGAAAGCUAGGGUAGCAAACGGG